rnacentral:tRNA from 1 species
GGAUUGGUAGUUUAAAAAAAACAUUUGGCUGUUAACUAAAAAUUAAGUAAUCUUUCAAUCUU